rnacentral:rRNA from 1 species
CAGUCGUACCGGCGGAUAAUCAGCCUUUCGGGUGCGAUUCUGUGGGGCGUGAGGAGCUUAACCGCCUUCAUGUUCUGCAUAUUCGUGCUCUUAGGUGUACUUGCUCGUGUGGUUGGUUAACAUCAAUUUCGGACGCCAUAAAAUGGCUGGAGGAAUGUAGCCUCGAUCUCGUAUUGAAGUGUUAUAGCCUUCGGUAGAUGUGGUGAUCGAGAUUGAGGAUUGCAACGGAUACCCUUUGGGGCUACUCGUCUGAUCUCUGAAGGUUGCUCCGGUACCGAAAGCGUGCUUACGGUCAUCGAAAGUGAUUUUCAAAAGGUUAGAACGGGUUAAUUCGUUAAGGAU